GACGUGAGGCUGACGGCGCCAUGUUCUCCGCGCACGCCUGGCCUGGGGUCCUCCAGUUUUCUCUGGGCAUAGGCAGUGGAUUCCGAGAAGGCCCUUUCCAGAGAAACAAGUCUGCUCUCAAGGGCAGGUUCCGUCCCGCCAUCCCUGGUCAAUUUGAGGUUGAGAAGCAGAAUCUUGUUGGAGCGAACCCUUGAGAUGCAAAGUGGAGAGGAGGCAUCUCUGGACUUGUCCGCUCCCAGCCGGACACGUGGGGAAGAGGGGAAAACGAGCGACCAUGGCGGUGACAUCGGGGAGCUGGCCUGGCACACACAGCUGGCCUCUGUGUUCUACUGAAUAUGCAGAGUUCCAUGAAACGUAGACAUCAAGCUCUGGUGUUAGAUCCACGGCAAAAACGAGGCCCCUCCAUACUUGUCUGAACACAGACAGGAGAAGAACAUUGUCCAAGCCACGAAAAUGACCAAACCUCCUACUGUCUCAGCCAGUCAGAGUGACUGCUCAUUCUUUACCAGCUCCAGAUCCACAUGUUCAUAUAUCCUUCAUGUGAUAUCUCAGGGAAGUCUCAAAAGUUGCUCAAACUCAAUAUGUGCUAGCUGAAAUUGUGAGCUGCAGUAUGAAGAGGGCCACAGCAAGGAAUGGAGGGCGGCUUCCAGCUGGCAGAAAAGGAGGCCUUCAGGAGCACGUGAAGAAAUGAGUGCUGCAAACGGCUACAUGAGCAUGGAAGUGGGUCCUUCCUAGUCAAGCCUCAGAUGAAACUCCAGUCCAGGCCAACACCUCAGUUGCAGCCUUGCAGAGGACUCCUGACCCAUGAAAACUGCAAUAACAAGUGGAUGUGGUUUUAAGCCACUAAAUCUUUGAAAAGGAGAGAAAUCUUUGAAAACAUGACUCAGUCCAUUGCCCUCCUGGCUCUAAGUCUUCCAACUGCAAGACCCUCAUCGUGGGCAUUUAGGUGAGCAAUAGCAAUUUUAUAUUUGUGAAUAUAAUUUGACUUUCCAUAAAUGAGACUUGAUCAACAUUUUCUGAAAUUUUUUAACUAGAAAAAUAGAUUUACCAUGAAACUUUCAUCCUCUGUUCACUUAAUACUAUGAGAAAUAGCUGAAAAAAAAAGAAAUAGCUCAUCGUUAUUUACUUCUU